rnacentral:rRNA from 1 species
GACGAACGCUGGCGGCGUGCUUAACACAUGCAAGUCGAACGCUGAAGCUCAGCUUUUGUUGGGUGGAUGAGUGGCGAACGGGUGAGUAACACGUGAGUAACCUGCCCCCUUCUUUGGGAUAACGCCCGGAAACGGGUGCUAAUACUGGAUAUUCACUGGUCUUCGCAUGGGGGUUGGUGGAAAGGGUUUUUCUGGUGGGGGAUGGGCUCGCGGCCUAUCAGCUUGUUGGUGGGGUGAUGGCCUACCAAGGCUUUGACGGGUAGCCGGCCUGAGAGGGUGACCGGUCACAUUGGGACUGAGAUACGGCCCAGGGUCCUACGGGAGGCAGCAGUGGGGAAUAUUGCACAAUGGGCGCAAGCCUGAUGCAGCGACGCCGCGUGAGGGAUGGAGGCCUUCGGGUUGUGAACCUCUUUCGCUCAAGGUCAAGCCGCAACAAUGGUUGUGGUGAGGGUAGUGGGUAAAGAAGCGCCGGCUAACUACGUG